GACGAACGCUGGCGGCGUGCUUAACACAUGCAAGUCGAACGGUGAUGCUCCAGCUUGCUGGCGUGGAUCAGUGGCGAACGGGUGAGUAACACGUGAGCAACCUGCCCCAGACUCUGGAAUAAGCGCUGGAAACGGCGUCUAAUACUGGAUACGAAACUGGCCCGCAUGGGCAUGGUUUGGAAAGUUUUUCGGUUUGGGAUGGGCUCGCGGCCUAUCAGCUUGUUGGUGAGGUAAUGGCUCACCAAGGCGACGACGGGUAGCCGGCCUGAGAGGGCGACCGGCCACACGGGGACUGAGACACGGCCCAGACUCCUACGGGAGGCAGCAGUGGGGAAUAUUGCACAAUGGGCGAAAGCCUGAUGCAGCGACGCCGCGUGAGGGAUGACGGCCUUCGGGUUGGAAACCUCUUUCAGCAGGGAAGAAGCGAAAGUGACGGUACCUGCAGAAGAAGCACCGGCUAACUACGU
rnacentral:rRNA from 1 species